UACGGAGUGUGCAAGCGUUACUCGGAAUCACUGGGCAUAAAGCGCGCGUAGGCGGACUUCCAAGUCGGUUGUGAAAUCCCUCAGCUCAACUGAGGAACUGCAUCCGAUACUGUUUGCCUUGAGGACGAGAGGGGAGAGUGGAACUUCUGGUGAAGCGGUGAAAUGCGUAGAUAUCAGAAGGAACGCCGGUGGCGAAAGCGACUCUCUGGCUCGUAUCGGACGCUGAGGCGCGAAAGCUUGGGUAGCAAGCGGG
rnacentral:rRNA from 1 species